AGAAUGAACGUUGGCGGCGUGGAUUAGGCAUGCAAGUCGUACGGGCCGCAAGGCCAGUGGCGUAAGGGUGAGUAAGGCGAAGGUAACCAACCCCAUGGUCGGGUAUAGCCGCGGGAAACUGCGGGUAAUCCCCAGCGACGUCCGGGGGGGGCAUCCCCCCUUGACCAAAGUUCCGGCGCCGUGGGACGGGCCUUCGUGGUAUUAGGUUGUUGGCGGGGUAACGGCCCACCAAGCCGAUGAUGCCUACCGGGCGUGCGAGCGUGGCCCGGCACACUGGGACUGAGACACUGCCCAGACUCCUACGGGAGGCUGCAGUCGAGAAUCUUCGGCAAUGGGCGCAAGCCUGACCGAGCGACGCCGCGUGGAGGACGAAGGCCUUCGGGUUGUAAACUCCUGUCGAGGGGGAAGAAGCCUUAACCGGUUGACUGAUCCCGUGGAGGAAGCACGGGCUAAGUUCGUGCCAGCAGCCGC
rnacentral:rRNA from 1 species